UACAGAGGGGGCAAGCGUUGUUCGGAAUUACUGGGCGUAAAGGGCGCGUAGGCGGCCUUCUAAGUCGAACGUGAAAUCCCCGGGCUCAACCCGGGAACUGCGUCCGAUACUGGAAGGCUUGAAUCCGGAAGAGGCGAGUGGAAUUCCUGGUGUAGCGGUGAAAUGCGCAGAUAUCAGGAGGAACACCAAUUGCGAAGGCAGCUCGCUGGGACGUUACUGACGCUGAGACGCGAAAGCGUGGGGAGCAAACAGG
rnacentral:rRNA from 1 species